rnacentral:lncRNA from 1 species
ACGAACCAGAGUAUACACAGCCAUUAAUCAGAACUCCAUUGUCAUGGAUCUCUUCUACGUACAGAGUCUCCGAAUAAACACACAGCAAAGAGAUUUUUAUCGAGGUACAAAGAGAGCCGGGCAGCACGGGCGCGAGACGAUUGAUCAGGUCCGCUUGACGGGGUCGAAGUUGGAGACGGCGACGACGGCCCCGGCGAUGCCGGCGAAGACGACCCCGCCGGACACGAUGCUGAGCAGGAAGUUCUUGAGCGAUGGGGACAGCCCCGGGGACGCGGCCUCCGCGACCUCGGGCAGCACCAGCGCCGCCGCCACGGCCGCCGCGGUC